rnacentral:rRNA from 1 species
GGGUCAGUAGGUUGGUCGUGCCACCGGUACGUACUGGUCUCACUGAUCCCUCCUUCCUGAAGAACCGUAAUGCCAUUAAUUUGGUGUUGCGGGGAAACAGGACUGUUACUUUGAAAAAAUUAGAGUGUUUAAAGCAAGCUAACGCUUGAAUACAUUAGCAGGGAAUAAUGAAAUAGGACGAUCGAUCCUAUUUUGUUGGUUUCUAGGAUUGACGUA